rnacentral:rRNA from 1 species
UGGGGAAUCUUGCACAAUGGGCGCAAGCCUGAUGCAGCCAUGCCGCGUGUAUGAAGAAGGCCUUCGGGUUGUAAAGUACUUUCAGCGGGGAGGAAGGCGAUAAGGUUAAUAACCUUGUCGAUUGACGUUACCCGCAGAAGAAGCACCGGCUAACUCCGUGCCAGCAGCCGCGGUAAUACGGAGGGUGCAAGCGUUAAUCGGAAUUACUGGGCGUAAAGCGCACGCAGGCGGUCUGUCAAGUCGGAUGUGAAAUCCCCGGGCUCAACCUGGGAACUGCAUUCGAAACUGGCAGGCUAGAGUCUUGUAGAGGGGGGUAGAAUUCCAGGUGUAGCGGUGAAAUGCGUAGAGAUCUGGAGGAAUACCGGUGGCGAAGGCGGCCCCCUGGACAAAGACUGACGCUCAGGUGCGAAAGCGUGGGGAGCAAACA